rnacentral:tRNA from 1 species
AACUAACUAGUUUAAGUGAAAACGUACACUUUGAAAGUGUGAAAUAAUUAAGAAAAUUUGUUGUUAGUUU